rnacentral:lncRNA from 1 species
GUUCUACUGUACGUGCAGGACUUUGUCCUUCCACUUGUUCAACUGCACGAAGUUUCUGUCAGCCUCGGAGUUUCUCCAGCCUCCUGAUGUCCUUCUGGAUGGCAGCGUGACCCUGGGCUGUCUCUGUCAUUCCUUCCCAUUCUCUAACGGUUUCAUCUCUAGAGAAGAAACUUCAGCAUCCUAAUAAAUCGAUCUUCAGACUGGCUGGAGGCCCAGAAUCAAGAAAGGUGCUGGGCUGCUGCUGGAGAGAUGAUUUGAUAUGUAGGUCGCUCUGAAAGAACCUGACACAAAAUGCAGCUUUCUCAGCAGGGAAGAUUGGCCUCUUUACAUUGGAAGACCUUUGUCAGUGGUGUAUGCAUUUCAGAGUGCUCCCACCUUCUUUGUACAGCUUGGUGAAAUAUAUUAGUAAGUAACAUGAUUUUCACAUAGAAGUCAAAUUAUUAUGUAGUCAGAAAUAAUUAAAUAUGUAAAUUCAUGGUUCAGUUUAAACAAAUCUAUGGCUAUUACUAAUCCAGAAUUAAUAUAAUAUUAAUUUAACAUUUAUUAGCAUUUACACGCUAACAGAUGAAAUCGUGUUUUGCAUAUGAAGUAUAGUUCU